ACAAAAAAGCCUGCAGAUUAGAAAUCUGCAGGCACCUUUUUUGAAUUGAUUCUCAUCAAAACAAAAAGGCAAAGGGAGAGGAGAAACCGGAGGAAGAACUUAUGGGGAACGUAAGUCUUCUCCGUCU
rfam:Pontibacillus yanchengensis Y32 contig18, whole genome shotgun sequence.